rnacentral:lncRNA from 1 species
AUUUUCCCUGAGAGAAUGAGUUCCUAGUGGGAGCCCAACACUGGUCAAAGCAAGUCUGUUCUGUCAAGGACUCUAAGAGACUCUUUCCUUCUGGCGUCUUUCUUCUAGACUCAGUUAACCAAGAGAAGGGACUCAAGGUGUACAUUUGUCUUGAAAGUGAGGCCUCACAGCAUCAACUAGGGGAAAGUACUAAGAGUAAGUCUAAGGCUGACUUUCUUCCUUCAGGCUCUCAGGAUGGCAGUUGUUCUGGAUCCACCUGGAUUCCUCAUGUUGCUGUUGCCAGGCACAUCCAUGCCAACCUCCAGGUGUCUCCUUUCCAUCAAAAAGGUGGUGCUAUUUAGACAGGACUUUCCUCAGGAAUGCAAUGAUUAUUGUGAAAUCUGCAUAAUUUCACCUUUUGUCAGUCAUGAGACAGGAGCAGUCCUCCAUCAGAUGAUAAGGGUGCCUAAGUUACUUUCUCAGCCUUACAGGCAGCUCCAUAAGUGACCAUCCUGCCCCUCUUUGUUGGUUCUAUGAAAAGAAUUCAGGUUAUGUCAAUAAACAAAACAUUUAUGGUGAAAAAACAUAUGGGAAUGAGGAGAGCAAGUGCCUCAGGGGAUUAGAAAAAGGCCUACCUCAAGGCCUCAUGGAGAAGGUUUGUAUUCUGGUAUUUUGUGAUUAACAUGACUUAACUUCUGUCUCCUGUUGUUUCUGAGGAAUUUCUUUCUACAUGUGCAUUUUAUACUUUAUGACUAUGGCAU